AUGGACGGGGCGGAGAAGGGGGAGAUCUGCGAGAGGAACACCAAGCCGAGGCUGGACGACCAUCCGCAGGUGACGGCGGCGGGGGCAGCCAGUCUGUUCAACGUCGACCUCAUCCUGGAGAUCCUCUCCCGCCUCCUAGCCAGAUCCGUCCAUCGCUUCAAGUGCGUAUCAGUGCUCUGGCGCGACCUCAUCGCCGACCCCGCCAACCACAAGAAGCUGCCCCAGACCCUUGCCGGCUUCCUCUACACGUCCUUCUACAACAGCAGGUAUCGCCACCACUUCGCCGGUUUCUCCGGCGGCGCAGCCUCCUUCAACCCUUCCCUCCCUUACAUACAUCCUAACAAGGAUGAGGGCAUCACCCUGGUGGACGCUUGCAAUGGCCUCCUUCUCUACCGCCGUUACAACAGUAGCAGUCAUGAUUACCAUUUUGUUGUGUGCAAUCCGGCCACCGGGAGGUGGGUGGAGCUGCCACCUCAACCUCAAACGCAGGAGACAAUGAACAGACUUAACCAUACCGCAGGCCUGGCUUUCGAUCCAGCAGUCUCGUCCCAUUUCCAUGUUCUUUGUUUCGAGCGGACCUUUCCGAAAACUUUGAUCACAUGAGUGAACAUCUACUCGUCUCGCACAGGAGCCUGGAUUCAUAGAGACAGCGGGAUAGUUGAGAAAGCUACCCUGUUCAGGAGUAAAUGUGUCUUUGUUGGCGGUAUGAUGUACAUCAUGGGUAACCUGGAGGACAUCAAUGACGAGUAUGUGCUGGUGGGGGUGGACAUGGAGGGGAAAGUGUGGAAGACUAUCCGUGUGCCGUAUGGUUCAAAAUUUGGUACUAUUGGAUUGUCGCAGGGGUGCUUACACUAUGCUAUAGCUCCUCCCAAUAAUAGCAAUGAAAUCCUAGUUUCCGAGAUAGCACUCUGGUGCCUCAAGGAUUGUGACAGUAAACAAUGGGUCCUAAAGCAUACUGCCAGCAUAGAUACACUUAUGAGCAUGACUUGGGAGAAGUACAGGGUGGUUGAGAUUCAUCCAGAUUGCGACACCAUUUUCCUGGCUCAGUGUGGAGGUGAUACCUUGGUAUCAUAUGACAUGUCGCAUCAGAAAGUUGGCUGUAUCAUUAAUCUUGAGAAAAACAGUGUACACAAAUUUCUACCCUAUGUUCCUCUGUUCUCAGAGCCAUUAGCUGAUGCUGAGGGGUAG
rnacentral:rRNA from 1 species